rnacentral:rRNA from 1 species
GAUGAACGCUGGCGGCGUGCUUAACACAUGCAAGUCGAACGGAAAGGCCCAAGCUUGCUUGGGUACUCGAGUGGCGAACGGGUGAGUAACACGUGGGUGAUCUGCCCUGCACUUCGGGAUAAGCCUGGGAAACUGGGUCUAAUACCGGAUAGGACGAUGGUUUGGAUGCCAUUGUGGAAAGUUUUUUCGGUGUGGGAUGAGCUCGCGGCCUAUCAGCUUGUUGGUGGGGUAAUGGCCUACCAAGGCGUCGACGGGUAGCCGGCCUGAGAGGGUGUACGGCCACAUUGGGACUGAGAUACGGCCCAGACUCCUACGGGAGGCAGCAGUGGGGAAUAUUGCACAAUGGGCGCAAGCCUGAUGCAGCGACGCCGCGUGGGGGAUGACGGCCUCCGGGUUGUAAACUCCUUUCGCUAGGGACGAAGCGUUUUUGUGACGGUACCUGGAGAAGAAGCACCGGCUAACUACGU